rnacentral:misc_RNA from 1 species
AAGUCGUAACAAGGUAUCUGUAGGUGAACCUGCAGAUGGAUCAUCUUUGUAUAAUCCAAACCCAGCCUCUCUCUCUCUCCGAGAAAGAGGUUCGGGGGAGAGGUGUCGCUCCGCACCUCUCAAAAAUAAACUAAAUUGGGCAAUCUUCCACAAACACGGUUGCAUCGGUCGGGUCUCUGCUGUCCAACAGUGCCUCACGGCGCUGGGAAAAUGGCAGCGCCCCGACAAAAUUUACACAACACACGCUAAUCUUUAGUCGUUGAAAAAUAAUCUUUAUGAUUGACACGAUUCGGUAACACGGUCGUAUAAUCUAAAACACAACUUUUGGCAACGGAUCUCUUGGUUCUCC